GGUCGAAAUUUAUUUGUUCUUGCAUCCGCGACACAUUCCAGCCGCGAGCAGGCGAAAAAUAAUGAAAUGAGGAAUCACCAACAUCUUCCCGACCGGGUCCAGUGACACUUGAGGAUCGAGAGAAUGACUGACACCGUGAGCUUGGAUGAGAAAAAGCAAUACGCGACCGGCCAUUUAAAUGCGUCGUGCUUCUUCGACAGUUUGUGCCGUGACUUCUUCUCCCCUUCUCCACUAGCCGUCUUUAAGGCAAUAACGUCACUGGAGAACAAUCCAAUCGGAGGCAUAAAGGCUCUGCUUCGGGGCCUGUUCGCUUUUCUGCCUAUUUCUCGACAGCUUCAAAAGUCUUUCUAACGAUUGUCACACUUCGUUCCUCGUAAUUACAACGAAACGAUACUUAUCGUCAAGCCAAACAGAGCAGAUAUUGUUCGUGCGAGGAGGAUCACAUUUGUAUUUCGACUGAUUCGAUGAAAGGUGACUUGAUUCACGGAACAUGAUGGAGAGGGAAAUAAACAAAGAUGUGACAUCGAAUUCGUGUACCGAGGAAAAUUAGUAAUAUAGUGAUAUUCAUGAUAUGGUACGAGAAUCUUUUUAAUCUGGAUGUAUUUCGAAACUAAACAACUCGAUUUAUCUCCCCCGAGGUGUAAUCUCUUAGAGAUCUGGUGGAUAAUACGUGUUUUAUCUUCUGUUAAUCCGAUCAAGAGAAGAUCGUGGCUGCGGUAGCAGAUGGAGUGUGAAGGGAAUAAGACAGAUAAGUAAUAUAUAGGCUUCCCGCAAUGAUUUACUCGUUUAAAAAAAUAUGCUCAUUGUGUUGAUUCGAGGCUUACCAAUUCUGAAAAAUCAUCCCAUGUGACUCGCGUCAUGGUUUUCACCAUUCCUGAGAUUACGAUACAGAUAUUCAUUGAUAAUUUCGUUUUU
rnacentral:lncRNA from 1 species